AACGAACGCUGGCGGCAUGCCUAACACAUGCAAGUCGAACGAAGCCUUCGGGCUUAGUGGCGCACGGGUGCGUAACGCGUGGGAAUCUGCCCCUUGCUUCGGAAUAACAGUUAGAAAUGACUGCUAAUACCGGAUGAAGUCUUCGGGCCAAAGAUUUAUCGGCAAGGGAUGAGCCCGCGUAGGAUUAGGUAGUUGGUGGGGUAAAGGCCUACCAAGCCGACGAUCCUUAGCUGGUCUGAGAGGAUGAUCAGCCACACUGGGACUGAGGCACGGCCCAGACUCCUACGGGAGGAAGCAGUGGGGAAUAUUGGACAAUGGACGCAAGUCUGAUCCAGCAAUGCCGCGUGAGUGAUGAAGGCCUUAGGGUUGUAAAGCUCUUUUACCAGGGAUGAUAAUGACAGUACCUGGAGAAUAAGCUCCGGCUAACUCCGUG
rnacentral:rRNA from 1 species